rnacentral:lncRNA from 1 species
GUAACUCCCUCCUUCAAAGUCUUGGUUAAUCUUGUUUGUAUCUUUCCCUUUUCACUCUUCUCCUUAGCCCCCAGUAAUGGAGGUUCAUCUUCAGAAAUCUACACUGCUGGAAAGAAAGAGGUUCCUCCAUCUGUGACCUGCUCAGCCAGGUCCUGAAGAUAUCGUCAUGUGGCUGCUGAAGAGCAAGAGUACGUAAAUUUGUGACACCUAUUUCUAUCACUAACCGGAAGAUUUUUUUUCUUGCUUUCGGAAUUGGGGCUGAGGGAAAGACAUGUUUGGUUGAAGUGAUGUAGUAGUGGCUUGGCAUUCAGGAAUUUUAUAUUCCUUCAUUAAUUUGAUAAAAGAUUUAUUGGGCAUAUACUAUGUCCAGCGAGUACUAAGAACUAUAAAUAAAGUGGUG